rnacentral:ribozyme from 13 species
AUCUCAAUCCACCUUCUUCUUCCUCUUCUUUCUCUUUCUUCUUUUCUUCUUUCUUUCUCUCAUUUGGAGAGAGAGAACCAGACGGGGAAGAAGAAGAAGAAGGAGAAGGAGAAGAAGAGAUAAUUUG